UGGGGAAUAUUGCACAAUGGAGGGAACUCUGAUGCAGCGACGCCGCGUGAGUGAUGAAGGAAUUCGUUUCGUAAAACUCUGUUCUAUGGGAAGAAAAGGACUGUACCAUAGGAGAAAGCUCCGGCUAAAUACGUGCCAGCAGCCGCGGUAAUACGUAUGGAGCGAGCGUUGUCCGGAAUUAUUGGGCGUAAAGGGUGCGCAGGCGGCUUUACAAGUUGGAUGUGAAAUAUUGUGGCUCAACCACAAACGUGCAUCCAAAACUGCAAAGCUUGAGUUGAGGAGAGGUAAGUGGAAUUCCUGGUGUAGCGGUGGAAUGCGUAGAUAUCAGGAGGAAUACCGGUGGCGAAGGCGACUUACUGGACUUAAACUGACGCUCAGGGACGAAAGCGUGGGGAGCAAACAGG
rnacentral:rRNA from 1 species